GAAAUGCGAUAAGUAGUGUGAAUUGCAGAAUUCAGUGAAUCAUCGAAUCUUUGAACGCACAUUGCGCCCCUUGGUAUUCCAUGGGGCAUGCCUGUUCGGGCGUCAUUUGUACCCUCAAGCUCUGCUUGGUGUUGGGUGUUUGUCCCGUCUCCGCGCGUGGACUCGCCCCAAAGUGAUUGGCAGCCGGCGUACUGGUCCCGGAGCGCAGCACAUGUCGCGCAAACGAGUGCCUUGGUACGGCGGCGUCCAUAAGCCCCUCUCUCACGCUCUUGACCUCGGAUCAGGUAGGGAUACCCGCUGAACUUAAGC
rnacentral:misc_RNA from 1 species